GGAUUAGGCAUGCAAGUCGAGCGAGAAUUCGCAGGCGGAAGCUUCGGCCGAAGCCUGCGAAGGAAAGCGGCAAACGGGGUAGUAAUGCGUAGGUCACGUACCCUUGGGACCGGGAUAGCCACGGGAAACUGUGAGUAAUACCGGAUGAUCUCUGCGGAGCAAAUGGUGUGAUUCCGCCCGAGGAGCGGCUUACGUGAUACCAGCUUGUUGGUGAGGUAACGGCUCACCAAGGCGAAGACGUCUAGGGGGUGUGAGAGCAUGGCCCCCACCACCGGAACUGAGACACUGUCCGGACACCUACGGGUGGCUGCAGUCGAGAAUCUUCCGCAAUGGGCGCAAGCCUGACGGAGCGACGCCGCGUGCGGGACGAAGGCCCUUGGGUUGUAAACCGCUGUCAGAGGGGAUGAAAUCGUUGAGGGUCAUCCCUCUUCGUUGACAUAGCCUCAAAGGAAGCACGGGCUAAGUACGUGCCAGCAGCCGCGGUAACAACGUACUGUGCAAACGUUAUUCGGAAUCACUGGGCUUAAAGGGUGCGUAGGC
rnacentral:rRNA from 2 species